GUGUGUCAGAUUGGUUCCUAUAAGAAAAAAAAUUUGUUUGGCUGGAAACACAUAGCGCGUGUGCGCACACGUUGUAUACAUGACGACUAGCCGCUCAGCGAUAGAUAAAAACGAAUUAACCUUUUCGUAUAUCUUGACACAUUAUAACCACAAUCGGGGAGCGCUUAUUGGUCCUUUACGUGCAGUAUUGUGAUGUCCCAUAAACAGCGUUUCUGGUUUUAUGGUUUCCACAGUCAUCACCAAUAAAGGCAGAAUCCUACUCUUGCACUCGGCGUAACGUUACGCCAUUCACCAGACUGAACAUGUUUUAUCCAGAGACGUAUACAGAGCCUUGUUGCCAAGAUUGUGGUGCUUUAGCCUCGCUCGAACACAUGCUCUGGUCUUGCGAAAGAAUUGAAGACUCGGCGAUCAAGGAUGCGUCCAGGUGGGAGGCUGCACUUCGCAGCCCGGACCUGGAUGAACAAUUCUGGGCUGUCCAGCAGGCUCACGAUGUGGCCGUGAGGCUUGGCCUUCCGGUCCCAACGUGGGAGCGGCGCGCUUAGUGAUUAAUCAUCACUACUUGCAGGACCACAUAAAGUUUUCCUUCCUUCCUUCCUUCACGCAAUAUCACAAGUCUAGGAUUGAACGACAGAAUGUAUUACUGAUGCGCACUGGGAUAUUACAACACGUAAUGUAUAUUAUAUAUCUGCUGCAGAAUUAUUGGGAAAGCUCAUUCGCAAUCAUCUAUUUAUGCUGGUCAAUCAAUGAAAAACACUUCCGUUGUCAAAGGAAAAGAAAAUUUUAAUAAUGACACUUGGCAAAGGAUCUGCGCGGAUGAAACUCACUGGCCAAAAAACUAUGACAGCGUCUAUGAUGCUGAACAACGUUAGCGAAAUUGCAGCAGUAGGCUGGUAAGAAACACAAAAGCAUUCAUCAGCUUAUUUUGGCCGACAACCAUACAGACACGGACCGAAUGAGUAUAUAUAAUAGGCAUUAAAAUUCACCGCAUAUCGCAUUGCAUAAUUAGCGCUCCUUUUUGUCUUGGGAAUUGUACGACCUAAUUAGCCUAAAAACAGAAUACGUUUGCUUUCAAACAAGGUAAUUACAUCAUUCUUUCUCCAGAGCCGCUGUUUCUCUCUGCAUCAAGGCGUACCAGCGUAUUGGAACUUCUAGUUGUAAUGGCAGGACGCAUCACAGCAUUUCUUCUCAUGUGCGCCGUGUUCGCCUACGGCAUCAUGGCCAUUGCAGCCAAUCAGGAUUCUACAGCCCGAGGAAGUUCGGUGCCGGCGAGUGCUCCCAAUGAAGAUGCAAGAAUCGGAACAGCUGCGAUACAAAGCUUGGCGGAUGGAGGCCUCGGCUGAAACUCACGUGAUUGGCUGCACCGAGAGAGCCGCGCGAGAGAAACGACUUUUGUCGCGGACUCGGUUUAUUCUUUAGCUAGUGCAUUUUUCACCGCUCAAAUGUAAUAAAUGUCGGUACAUUACGUG